rnacentral:rRNA from 1 species
AUUGAACGCUGGCGGCAUGCUUUACACAUGCAAGUCGAACGGUAACAGGCCUUCGGGUGCUGACGAGUGGCGAACGGGUGAGUAAUGCAUCGGAACGUGCCCAGAGGUGGGGGAUAACGCAGCGCAAGCUGUGCUAAUACCGCAUGUGAUCUGAGGAUGAAAGCGGGGGACCAGGCAGCAAUGUUUGGCCUCGCGCCUUUGGAGCGGCCGAUGUCAGAUUAGGUAGUUGGUGGGGUAAAGGCCUACCAAGCCGACGAUCUGUAGCUGGUCUGAGAGGACGACCAGCCACACUGGGACUGAGACACGGCCCAGACUCCUACGGGAGGCAGCAGUGGGGAAUUUUGGACAAUGGGCGCAAGACUGAUCCAGCAAUGCCGCGUGCGGGAAGAAGGCCUUCGGGUUGUAAACCGCUUUUGUACGGAACGAAAAGGCUCUGGCUAAUACCUGGGGCUGAUGACGGUACCGUAAGAAUAAGCACCGGCUAACUACGUG